AUGCCGAAAGUUAAAUUAAGUCACUCGCAUAGACUUGAAAUAGCGUCCCUCUACCGCCAAAAUUGGAAAAUAAGCGCCAUAGUCCGCUAUUUGUCAAAUCAACAUGGAAUAGAUGUAAACUGGAGUACAGUACGCAAUAUCAUCUUGAAGUACAAGUCAGGGGAUCUUUUCGCUGAUCCUAACUCCGAUUUCAUCAAGUUCCGUAAAGUUACUGACGGUGACAUUUCAACAGUUAGAUCAGCAUUAGCCGAAAAAUGUACAAUGACUGCAACUGAUGUUCGGCGUGAACUUGUUAGUAAAGGGUCAGAUUUGUCAAAAACAACUGUUCAAAGAAUAAUUCACGAAGCCGGGUACACCGCCAGUGCACCGCGUUAUUGUCAGAUGAUUCGUGAGGCAAAUAAAGUAAAACGGCUCACUUUCUGUCAACAGUUGAUAACAGACAAUGACAAUUUUGCAGACAUCAUAUUUACAGAUGAAUGCACCGUCCAGCUACAUGAUAAUAAAGUAGUAAUUUAUCGCCUGAGAGACCAAGUCGCACAACCAAUUCCACAACCAAAGCAUCCGUUUAAACUUCAUGUUUGGGGAGGUAUAAGUCGUAGAGGAACAACUCGUCUUUUAAUUUUUGACGGCAUACUACGAUCAGAUUUUUUUGUAGAUAAAAUUCUUCGACAAACACUUUUACCGUUUAUUCAAGACGUGUACCCUGACAAACACCGUUUCCAACAAGACAAUGAUCCGAAACAUCGUUCUAUAUUGUCAAAAAACUUUAUGAAAAGCAACAACAUAAAUUGGUGGGAAUGUUGGCCGUCAGAGUCUCCAGAUUUAAACCCGAUUGAAAUGGUUUGGAACAUGCUAAAACGAAGACUAGCCAAAAAAGACCUAAAGACAAAAGAAGACCUAGAAACUGCGCUAGAGGAUUUUUGGACCACAGACCUAACCGUAGAAUGCUGCAACCGUUUUUAUUGA
rnacentral:sRNA from 1 species